AUGGAUGCGCUGCACAACGUGUCAUCACGUGCGAUGGAUAAUGCGUUCACUCCUCCCCAAUGGCAGUUCCAGUUCUCAACUUUCAAACAAGCAGUUCAAGUUCCACGUCCACAACGCCACGGACGCGCUAUAAAAGGCAACACGGCGAGGGCGCCAUUCCUGCGAGCUCAGUCUUACCAAGCAGCAAGAGAGAGUGCAGUAGCUGGUCUCUCUAACGACAAGCUUGUGCGAGCGGCAACGAUGGCGGCUUCGGGAAGAGGCAAUGCAGCGGGCAGUAAGGCGCUUGUCGCCGGCGCCGCGUUCCUGUGCAUGGCCGCGGUGCUCCUGGCGGCCACCCCUGCUGCCGAGGCGGGGGCGACGACGUACCUUGUCGGCGACGCCGCCGGGUGGACGCGCAACGUCGACUACGGCGGGUGGCUGGCCGGCAAGACCUUCCGCGCCGGCGACGUGCUCGUGUUCAAGUACAACAGCACGUUCCACGACGUGGCGUGGGUGAGCAAGGGUGGGUACAAGAAGUGCACCGUGUCGCCCAAGGGGUUCGCCCCGGUGUACCGCAACGGCUACGACGCGGUGACGCUGCCCAGGGGCACGCACUACUUCAUCUGCGGCGUGCCGGGCCACUGCAGCGCCGGCAUGAAGCUCGCCGUCACCGUGUACUGA
rnacentral:rRNA from 1 species